rnacentral:rRNA from 1 species
CAGUCGCCGCGGUAAUACGAAGGGGGCUAGCGUUGCUCGGAAUGACUGGGCGUAAAGGGCGCGUAGGCGGCGAUCAAAGUCAGGCGUGAAAUUCCUGGGCUCAACCUGGGGGCUGCGUUUGAUACUUGAUUGCUAGAGUGGGGAAGAGGGUCGUGGAAUUCCCAGUGUAGAGGUGAAAUUCGUAGAUAUUGGGAAGAACACCGGUGGCGAAGGCGGCGACCUGGUCCUUGACUGACGCUGAGGCGCGAAAGCGUGGGGAGCAAACAGGAUUAGAGACCCCUGUAGUCCCUGUCUCUUAUAA